GAUGAAGAACGCAGCGAAAUGCGAUACGUAAUGUGAAUUGCAAAUUCAGUGAAUCAUCGAAUCUUUGAACGCACAUUGCGCCCGCCAGCAUUCUGGCGGGCAUGCCUGUUCGAGCGUCAUUUCAACCCUCGAGCCCCCCCGGGGGCCUCGGUGUUGGGGGACGGCACACCAGCCGCCCCCGAAAUGCAGUGGCGACCCCGCCGCAGCCUCCCCUGCGUAGUAGCACACACCUCGCACCGGAGCGCGGAGGCGGUCACGCCGUAAAACGCCCAACUUUCUUAGAGUUGACCUCGGAUCAGGUAGGAAUACCCGCUGAACUUAAGCAUAUCAAUAAGCGGAGGA
rnacentral:misc_RNA from 1 species